rnacentral:rRNA from 1 species
UGGGGAAUAUUGCACAAUGGGGGAAACCCUGAUGCAGCGACGCCGCGUGAGUGAAGAAGUAUUUCGGUAUGUAAAGCUCUAUCAGCAGGGAAGAUAAUGACAGUACCUGACUAAGAAGCCCCGGCUAACUACGUGCCAGCAGCCGCGGUAAUACGUAGGGGGCAAGCGUUAUCCGGAUUUACUGGGUGUAAAGGGAGCGUAGACGGAGUGGCAAGUCUGAAGUGAAAACCCUGGGCUUAACCUGGGGACUGCUUUGGAAACUGUUAAUCUAGAGUGAUGGAGAGGUAAGUGGAAUUCCUGGUGUAGCGGUGAAAUGCGUAGAUAUCAGGAAGAACACCGGAGGCGAAGGCGGCUUACUGGACAAUAACUGACGUUGAGGCUCGAAAGCGUGGGGAUCAAACAGGAUUAGAUACCCUGGUAGUCCACGCUGUAAACGAUGAAUACUAGGUGUCGGGGUGCAAAGCAUCUCGGUGCCGUCGCUAACGCAAUAAGUAUUCCACCUGGGGAGUACGUUCGCAAGAAUG